CCGAAUCUGAUAAAGAUACUUCUAUCUUUGGAUAUCAUUCAUCAAGCAAUGCAUAUAGAAUAUUCAAUGAAAAGAUCCUAGUUGUAGAAAUAUCAAUUCAUUUUAUUCUUUAUGAGACUAAUGAUCUUUCAUCAAGUCACUAAAAUCAGAUUAUAUGCGUAUAUGUUAAUCUUUUUGCUUGCAUAUAACAAUCUAAAACUAAAACACCUUAAGAAGAAUGAGCAAGAUUAUAAUUGGUCAAGUUAAACUAAAUCAUUUUUUGAAAGAGAGAGAAUUUGAAAUCUUGCCGAUAAAAUCGGAAAGCUUGUUAAUAAUUAGAA
rnacentral:lncRNA from 1 species